CUGGGGGUCAGGCCACACCCAGCUGCUGCUUGUGCUGGCUGCGUCAGCUCUGGAGUGGGGGUUUCCAACUGUGUUUCCUGGAGUAUGAAGGUUCCACAGAGAGGCCUCCAAGGGGCUACUCCAGUAGCUGCCAGCAGUGAGAAGGGAGGCAGAUCACAAAGAUGAGAAGGACCUUGCAAAGCUGAGAAGGAGCAACCGGUGUGGUAGGAAGAACCAAGCAAGUGUAGAGGGGUCCCAAAAAAGAAGUGAA
rnacentral:lncRNA from 1 species